rnacentral:ncRNA from 1 species
GGAUGCCCGCGACGGGCAAAGCACCGGACAAUCGCCUUUGGCGGCCCUGCGGGCGGCCGUCCGGUGUGCCGCCCCGUAUGAUAAACUUAUCAUUUUAAAGUUUUUUC